CAAAUACUCCCUCCGUCACAAAAUUCUUGUCUUAGAUUAGUAUAGAUACGGAUGUAUCUAAUACUAAAACGUGACUUGAUACAUCCGUAUUUAGACAAAUCUAAGACAAGAAUUUUAGGACGGAGGGAGUAUUUU
rfam:Triticum aestivum genome assembly, contig: Triticum_aestivum_CS42_TGACv1_scaffold_158498_2DL